AGAGUUUGAUCCUGGCUCAGAUUGAACGCUGGCGGCAUGCCUUACACAUGCAAGUCGAACGGUAACGCGGGGCAACCUGGCGACGAGUGGCGAACGGGUGAGUAAUAUAUCGGAACGUGCCCAGUAGUGGGGGAUAGCCCGGCGAAAGCCGGAUUAAUACCGCAUACGACCUACGGGUGAAAGCGGGGGAUCGCAAGACCUCGCGCUAUUGGAGCGGCCGAUAUCAGAUUAGCUUGUUGGUGGGGUAAAAGCCUACCAAGGCGACGAUCUGUAGCUGGUCUGAGAGGACGACCAGCCACACUGGGACUGAGACACGGCCCAGACUCCUACGGGAGGCAGCAGUGGGGAAUUUUGGACAAUGGGCGCAAGCCUGAUCCAGCCAUGCCGCGUGCGGGAAGAAGGCCUUCGGGUUGUAAACCGCUUUUGUCAGGGAAGAAACGGUCUGAUCUAAUACAUCGGACUAAUGACGGUACCUGAAGAAUAAGCACCGGCUAACUACGUGCCAGCAGCCGCGGUAAU
rnacentral:rRNA from 1 species